GCAUGCAACUGGCGCAGUCGCAACCAUUUAAUUUGAAAAAGAAAUGCGCCCGUUUUUCGCCGUUAAAUGUUGCUGCCAAAUUUUGGAUCGAGAAUUAAGUGCGACGAAGAUGGCCGUUAAUAAUAGUUCUACUACUUUAAGAACACGGUUCAGAUUUGGAUAACGACUUCGAAGGCAUUCGCAGGAGACCAAACAGAGAAAGAGAGGGAGACACAAAACCACCUGUCUCGGUGUCACACAUGAGGAGUUGAGGAGGAGAUGAAGUCAGUGAAUAUUACCUGGCCUUGGGGAGUUUCCAGAAGAAGGCCAAGAAUCGCUGGAUGCCAGGAGUGGAGAUCCUUCGUUGCUGCCCUACAUGAUAGGAGGCAUCGGGCAGUAGAUGCUGUAAUUUGAAACGGAAGGUGUCCUGCCAAUAAAUUUUCAUCCCACCUGAACUGCCUUGCCUGCCUGCACCCAGUCAUCUGUUCCUGAGCAUUUUCCUCUAUUUUUCAUCAUCGUUUGUUUCGGCCUGUAUGAAGUGAAUUUCACAUUGAUUGGUGGAGCUGCUAAGUUGGCAUUACAGGGCCGGGGUAUGAUCCUUUGGGUUGAACAUCAUGACUGCUAGUUGGUCGGCAAAGGUGAUGGGAUCGAUCAAUGUCACAUGGAGUAAGAUCGAUACCAAUCUGCUUUGCUACAUUUCGAACAAUCUCAUACGGAUACGGAUAUUAUUGCGACAGGAGUACUGCUCGAUGUGGUCAAGCCUAUUUGACAAAGCAUUAUGGUGUUAGUCAUGUUAUCAGAAACCGAUUUUUCAAAAUCACGGAGUUGCUUCAAUUUAGUAUCGAUAGAUAUUUCAAGAACGUGUAGACUAGUGAGCUUUUCAUCAAGAAUUUCACGCAAUUUAUUUUCGCGCUUAUCCAUGUCAUCAUUGAGUUUUUGUCUCUCGCGUUCCAUUGCCACGGCCACCGCUCUUUGAACGACUGUAUCAAUAUGAUCUAGGUAUGCUGGGCUUUGUUUAGAUCCAGUUAAUGAUGAAGCAGAGGAUUGUGUACAUGCGUUAGCCGAGUGCAAGCGGCCUCUUGAUCUGGUGGAUAUCUUAGACAUGUUAGAGAUUACGUAAUGAUAUAAUUGAAAAGUGGGAUGGGCUAUGCAUCUGCCAACUCACCAGUCAACCAAUUAGAGAUGGCCUUCCAAAGUGACACAGCACGAAAAUAUCAAUAUGGGACUGGUCUAGUCAACACAUAGAUCCUGAAAAAACCAUGGAGACUGCAGACGCAAAAUGACUUC